ACCCCACUAUGCCUAGCCUUAAACACUGAUCAAGCUACAUUAUUACAUCCGCCCGGGAACUACGAGCCGCAGCUUAAAACCCAAAGGACUUGGCGGUGCCCCAAACCCACCUAGAGGAGCCUGUUCUAUAAUCGAUACCCCCCGCUUAACCUCACCCCUCCUCGCCAGCAGCCUAUAUACCACCGUCGCCAGCCCACCUCAUGAGAGAAAGCAAGUAGGCACAAUGGUAGCCACCAAAACGUCAGGUCAAGGUGUAGCUCAUGGAGCGGAAAGAAAUGGGCUACACUUUCUACACAGAAGAUACGAAAGACCACUAUGAAACCUGGUCUGAAGGCGGAUUUAGUAGUAAAAAGAUUCAAGAGUGUUCUUUUUAAUCCGGCCCUGGGGCGCGCACACACCGCCCG
rnacentral:rRNA from 1 species